rnacentral:rRNA from 1 species
GACGAACGCUGGCGGCGUGCUUAACACAUGCAAGUCGAACGGACAGGUCCUGCUUUUGUGGGGUGCUCGAGUGGCGAACGGGUGAGUAACACGUGAGUAACCUGCCCUUGACUUUGGGAUAACUUCAGGAAACUGGGGCUCAUCCCGGAUAGGAGCUCCUGCUGCAUGGUGGGGGUUGGAAAGUUUCGGCGGUUGGGGAUGGACUCGCGGCUUAUCAGCUUGUUGGUGGGGUAGUGGAUUACCAAGGCUUUGACGGGUAGCGGGCCUGAGCGGGGGAACGGCCAAAUCGGGACGGGGAUACGGCCCGGACCCAUACGGGAGGCAGCGGUGGAGAAUAUUACACAAUGGGCGGAAGGCAGAUGCAGCGAAGCCGUGUGCGGGAUAACGGGCUUCGGGUUGGAAACCGAUUUUGUCUGUGAGGAAGCGUGAGUGACGGUAAUGGGUAAAGAAGCACCGGCUAACUACGUG